rnacentral:sRNA from 1 species
UCAAGUUUUAACUGAAGUUUGGAUAAGAAAGUGGAAGUAAAGCUAUCACGUUGUAAUUUGGUGAAUUUUACACAUGGCUUGAUCUAAGCCAAUAGGAGGAUUUUUUCACAUGAAAAACGGUAAAGUAAAAUGGUUUAACUCUGAAAAAGGUUUCGGAUUCAUCGAAGCUGAAGACGGUAACGACGUAUUCGUUCACUAUUCUGCUAUCCAAACAGAAGGUUUCAAAACUCUAGAAGAAGGUCAAGAAGUAUCUUUCGAAGUUGUUGAAGGUGCUCGUGGACCACAAGCUGCUAACGUAACUAAAAAGUAAUACAUGAAGCCAAUGAUUUAACAGCCCGACCAAAGAGUCGGGCUGUUUUU